ACGAACGCUGGCGGCGUGCUUAACACAUGCCAGUCGAACGGUGAAGGGGUCUGCUUUUGUGGGCCCUGGAUGAGUGGCGAACGGGUGAGUAACACGUGAGUAACCUGCCCCCUUCUUCUGGAUAACCGCAUGAAAGUGUGGCUAAUACGGGAUAUUCUGGGUCUGUCGCAUGAUGGGUCUGGGAAAGAUUGCGCCUUUGGGUGUUUUUGGUGGGGGAUGGGCUCGCGGCCUAUCAGCUUGUUGGUGGGGUGAUGGCCUACCAAGGCGGUGACGGGUAGCCGGCCUGAGAGGGUGGACGGUCACACUGGGACUGAGACACGGCCCAGACUCCUACGGGAGGCAGCAGUGGGGAAUAUUGCACAAUGGGCGCAAGCCUGAUGCAGCGACGCCGCGUGAGGGAUGGAGGCCUUCGGGUUGUAAACCUCUUUCGCCAGUGAAGCAGGCCUGCUCCUUGUGGGUGGGUUGACGGUAGCUGGAUAAGAAGCGCCGGCUAACUACGUG
rnacentral:rRNA from 1 species